rnacentral:rRNA from 1 species
UACGGGGGGGGGCAAGCGUUGUUCGGAAUUACUGGGCGUAAAGGGCGCGUAGGCGGCCUGCUAAGUCGGACGUGAAAUCCCCCGGCUCAACCGGGGAACUGCGUCCGAUACUGGUGGGCUCGAAUCCGGGAGAGGGAUGUGGAAUUCCAGGUGUAGCGGUGAAUGCGUAGAUAUCUGGAGGAACACCGGUGGCGAAGGCGGCAUCCUGGACCGGUAUUGACGCUGAGGCGCGAAAGCCAGGGGAGCAAACGGG